rnacentral:rRNA from 1 species
CAGCCGCCGCGGUAAUUCGUAGGGUGCAAGCGUUAAUCGGAAUUACUGGGCGUAAAGCGUGCGUAGGCGGUUAUGCAAGACAGAUGUGAAAUCCCCGGGCUCAACCUGGGAACUGCAUUUGUGACUGCAUGACUUGAGUACGGUAGAGGGGGAUGGAAUUCCGCGUGUAGCAGUGAAAUGCGUAGAUAUGCGGAGGAACACCGAUGGCGAAGGCAAUCCCCUGGACCUGUACUGACGCUCAUGCACGAAAGCGUGGGGAGCAAACAGGAUUAGAUACCCUGGUAGUCCACGCCCUAAACGAUGUCAACUGGUUGUUGGGAGGGUUUCUUCUCAGUAACGAAGCUAACGCGUGAAGUUGACCGCCUGGGGAGUACGGCCGCAAGGUUAAAACUUAAAGGAAUUGACGG